rnacentral:rRNA from 1 species
GACGAACGCUGGCGGCGUGCUUAACACAUGCAAGUCGAACGGAAAGGCCCUGCUUGCAGGGUACUCGAGUGGCGAACGGGUGAGUAACACGUGGGUGAUCUGCCCUGCACUUCGGGAUAAGCCUGGGAAACUGGGUCUAAUACCGGAUAGGAGCCAUUUUUAGUGUGAUGGUUGGAAAGUUUUUUCGGUGUAGGAUGAGCUCGCGGCCUAUCAGCUUGUUGGUGGGGUAAUGGCCUACCAAGGCGGCGACGGGUAGCCGGCCUGAGAGGGUGGACGGCCACAUUGGGACUGAGAUACGGCCCAGACUCCGACGGGAGGCAGCAGUGGGGAAGAUUGCACAAUGGGCGCAAGCCUGAUGCAGCGACGCCGCGGGGGGGAGGACGGCCUUCGGGUUGUAAACUCCUUUCGCUAGUGACGAAGCUUUUUGUGACGGUACCUAGAUAAGAAGCACCGGCUAACUACGUG